CGAUAAGCAUAGUGUCAUGAUAACGAACCAGCAUAAAUAGUUCAUAUUACAAGUAUUGAUCUUACAAGAAACUUAUGUACAUGAAAUAUUUUUCAAGAAACAGGACUAAAAACACAACUAGUACUACUGCUAAGAUUACAUAACUAGUGACAAAAACAAACAGUGCCUUUCUUCUCACUUAUAAUGGCGAUGGAUCCUGCUCUAUUUACCAAAGCAAGUUGUAAAAUACCAAAUACCAAGUAUGCACAUAGCCAACAGUACCUUUGAUGCUUCUCUUCGACCAGGUUUCAGCAUUGCUCUGGACCCUUCAAAAGGACAUGUCUUUGAUGGAGCUUAAUUGUUCUUAGAAACUUUCGUAAGAAAAUCUUGAAUCUAGGAUAUCCAACUGUCUUUUUAUCCAUGGUGGAUCAUCUGUCCUGAGCCAGAGAACUUCACCAGUAUCUCUGUUCUUAAAGUCGGGGUAUUUAGGAUUGACUUUACUCUUCCUGAAGUCCAUCCAUUCAAAAGGGCUAGCGAAGAAAAUUUGCCACAAUUGGAUCCGGUUCCUGUAGUUCUCCAAUUCAUCUUCACCUCUUGAUUCUUUCUUCUGAAAUUCUGGGGUCGCUAAGGCUUGAACAUCUGGAGUCACGAAAUUUAUUUCCUUCACAUCUACCUGGUAUCUCAUCUUAUGUUUACCAUUCUCAUCAGUCUUGAUGUAUGAUCCCAAAUGACCCCAAACAUAUACCAGGUCAUUUGAUUUCAAAUGCUCCAUUGACACUUCCGCCAUUUCAUCCCACAUCUUCAACAUAACUUUAAAAGAUGGACGGGAUUGAGAAGAACCGGAGACACUGAGUAAAGUAUGAACCCCAAAAGAGCCGUUUUUAGUGUUAACUCUUUUGAAUGGGUAAUCAAUUUUUCCUAUGAGACUGACGGAGUUAUGGAGAAGCUGAAGUUGUUUUAUCGUUGAUGGGCGUUGAAAUUUGAGGGUGUGCUGAUACACUGCACUUUCUUCGCCUUCACUACCGUCACAGUAGAAAUCGCCCGGCCGGUGAAUCUCC
rnacentral:misc_RNA from 1 species